CGCAACUGAAAGGCUGAGACUGUGUUUUCUGUUGGUUGUACACAUGUCCGGGCUUGUCCAGAGGCCAGUAAAGUCUGUGAGCUGGACGGACAGAGAGGCCCCCUGGGAAGGAGAGAGAAAGGAGGUGGAAGAAGCCUAACAGUCUGUCUAAGCCAGGGCCACGGUCAGUGUUGGAAGGAAGGAGGCUGCAGAGAGUGAGUGGGUCGUUCAAGAGCUCUCUUUCUCUUUCUCUCUCUCCCCCCCUCCCCCGCCCUCUCUCUCCUCUUUGACUAGGAGGAGGAGAGGAGGUGGUUAUGUGACAGAGCAGAAUCCAGUUCUGUGAAGGAAAAAGAGCACAAAGGCUGUAGGACUCUGUGAGGCAGAACUCAGUGGAGCUGGGAGAGUUUUCCAGGAAGCUGUGGUUAUAACCACCUCCCACACCUUCCUCUGCUGUGGACCGAGACUGGGGCGUCUGCAGUUCGGGUGACAUGAAUAGAGGCUCUUCACGCCCACUCCCAGGACCUGCCUGAACCCGGGGUCUGCUCUCUGCCUGCUCUUCUUCUUUUUACCGUCCGAUCUAGCUGAUUGGAAAAGAAAAAAAAGGCCGUGCUCAUUGUUUGAGACCAGGACCUGAAAGAAACUUGGCUGAGGGUGAACCACAUGUGGACAAAUGAGAUUAGAAAAAGCAUGACCCAAAUUAACCUUCUUGCCAAGCUCCUGAGAUGGUGCAGGGGGAGAGGUGUGCUGACAGAAGCACACAGAAACCUCUGGCAGGCGGUGGCAGCCCUGGGGGUGCCCACUGGGAUCUCCUCGGCACCACCCACCUCCCCGCCUCGUUCUUGCACUUGACACCAGACGCAGCCAUACUUGGACCGCCUGCUUCAUUGUUUGUGCCAAGAGACCCGCGAAGUCAGGCCAGAACUUUCUUCCUGCAUGCGAAA